rnacentral:tRNA from 1 species
UGGCUCAGUUGGUGGAGCAUGGCACUUGCAAUGCCAGGGUUGUGGGUUCGAUCCCCAU